GUACACUCCUGCGGGAGGCAGCAGUGGGGAAUAUUGCACAAUGGGCGCAAGCCUGAUGCAGCGACGCCGCGUGGGGGAUGAAGGCCUUCGGGUUGUAAACUCCUUUCGCUAGGGACGAAGCUUUUUUGUGACGGUACCUAGAUAAGAAGCACCGGCUAACUACGUGCCAGCAGCCGCGGUAAUACGUAGGGUGCGAGCGUUGUCCGGAAUUACUGGGCGUAAAGGGCUCGUAGGUGGUUUGUCGCGUCGUCUGUGAAAUUCUGGGGCUUAACUCCGGGCGUGCAGGCGAUACGGGCAUAACUUGAGUGCUGUAGGGGUAACUGGAAUUCCUGGUGUAGCGGUGAAAUGCGCAGAUAUCAGGAGGAACACCGAUGGCGAAGGCAGGUUACUGGGCAGUUACUGACGCUGAGGAGCGAAAGCAUGGGUAGCGAACAGGAUUAGAAACCCCGGUAGUCCCAUGA
rnacentral:rRNA from 1 species